rnacentral:rRNA from 1 species
CUACGGGGCGCAGCAGUGAGGAAUAUUGCACAAUGGAGGAAACUCUGAUGCAGCAACGCCGCGUGGAGGAUGACGCAUUUCGGUGUGUAAACUCCUUUUAUAUGUCAAGAAAAUGACGGUAGCAUAUGAAUAAGCACCGGCUAACUCCGUGCCAGCAGCCGCGGUAAUACGGAGGGGUGCAAGCGUUACUCGGAAUCACUGGGCGUAAAGGACGCGUAGGCGGGAUAUCAAGUCAGGUGUGAAAUCCUACAGCUUAACUGUAGAACUGCACUUGAAACUGGUAACCUAGAGUAUGGGAGGGGGAGAUGGAAUUAGUGGUGUAGGGGUAAAAUCCGUAGAUAUCACUAGGAAUACCUAAAGCGAAGGCGAUCUCCUGGAACAUAACUGACGCUAAGGCGUGAAAGCGUGGGGAGCAAACAGGAUUAGAUACCCGUGUAGUC